UGGGUUUAGGCCCACGGCGAACGGGUGAGUAAUACCUAGGAAUGUAUCUUUAAUUGAGCAUAUCCCACCGAAAGGUGGAGCAAUUCUCAAUGUGACCGCAAGGUUAAAGUCGCAAGACGCUAAAGAAGCAGCCUGGGCACCAUCAGCUAGUUGGUAAGGUAAAGGCUUACCAAGGCUAUGACGGUUAGGGGCCCCGAGAGGGGAAACCUCCACACUGGAACUGCGACACGGUCCAG
rnacentral:rRNA from 1 species